rnacentral:snRNA from 1 species
GUAUUUAGCACACACACUAAAGUUGCAGUGAUACAGAGAGAAUUGGCCUCUGUGCAUGGAUGGCAUGCUAAUCCACGAAGCAUGCCAUGUUGAA